rnacentral:lncRNA from 1 species
AUCACUCCCAAACCCAGGUUUUUGUUCAUAGUAGGUUAUCCUGUCUUUGGAAUUGUUAUAGCAGCACAGAAAAGUGAAACACAUGAUUCAAAGUAAACUAUGGGGCUGGGGCUUAGUCGGUGAGCUCCCAGUCCCAUCCUCAGCAUAACAAAGCUAAACGGCAAAAGCCGCAUGCUCUGUAAGUUUAAAAACGAGGAUGGGAAUAGUCAGGUGUGGGCGGCACAUGCCUUUAAUCCCGGCACCAGGAAGACAAAAGUUGGUGGAUCUCUGUGAGUUCAAGGCCAGCCUGGUCUACAGAGCAAGUUCUAGGACAGCUAGGACUAUAUAGUGAAACCUUGUCUUGAAAAAACACACACACACACAUACAUACAUACAUACAUACAUACAUACAUACAUACAUACAUACCCAGGGCUGCAUAGUGAGACGUGUCUUGAAAAACUAGGUGGACAGACAGACCUACUGACCCACCUACCCUAUGGGAACAAUAGUUAAAAAUUUCCACUGUCCAAAGGCAAUUAUUGGUAAUUAUGUAGUAAGUACAUCAAUACUCCAAAAACAGAUUUUUCUCAACUUUGUAAGAAGAAAUUUUGUGACUAAACAAUUUAAAAAAACCUGUUAAUAUAUUACUAGAGUUAACUGUGGUUAUGUAGUUAUUAUAUAACCCAAGCUAGAUUAUAACAAUUCACAAAAUUUCCAGUAUUUACUUUUUUACAAUGAACUGGAGUGUAACUAGCAUGGAAGUAAGGAAACAAGUGCAGAUGUGUGAGUAGAUUAUAUCUUAAACAUAUCUGUAGGUGGCUGGCGAGAUGGCUCAGCAGUUAAGAGCACCGACUGCUGUGAAGGUCCUGAGUUCAAAUCCCAGCAACCACAUGGUGGCUCACAACCAUCAGUAAUGAGAUCUGAUGCCCUCUUCUGCAGUGUCUGAAGACAGCUACAGUGAACUUACAUAUAAUAAAUAAAUCUUUAAAAACAAAAACAUGUCUGUAUUUUUGAGACUGCACAGAAAAUUUUCUAUAAAACUUUCUGAAGUAUAACACAGUACCAAAUUUUCAUAAACUACAAUGUGUAGAACAUUUUAAGGUUUAUCAUAAGUUUAUUACAAUUUAAUAUACAAAAUACAUAAG